rnacentral:rRNA from 1 species
AGGGUUUGAUCAUGGCUCAGGAUGAACGCUGGCGGCGUGCUUAACACAUGCAAGUCGAACGAACCUUCGGGUUAGUGGCGGACGGGUGAGUAACGCGUGAGAAUCUGCCCUCAGGAGGGGGAUAACGGUUGGAAACGACCGCUAAUACCCCAUAUGCCUAUUGGUGAAAUGAAUUUCGCCUGAGGAUGAGCUCGCGUCUGAUUAGCUAGUUGGUGAGGUAAUGGCUCACCAAGGCAUCGAUCAGUAGCUGGUCUGAGAGGAUGAUCAGCCACACUGGGACUGAGACACGGCCCAGACUCCUACGGGAGGCAGCAGUGGGGAAUUUUCCGCAAUGGGCGAAAGCCUGACGGAGCAACGCCGCGUGAGGGACGAAGGCCUCUGGGCUGUAAACCUCUUUUCUCAAGGAAGAAGAUAUGACGGUACUUGAGGAAUAAGCCACGGCUAAUUCCGUGCCAGCAGCCGCGGUAAUACGGGAGUGGCAAGCGUUAUCCGGAAUUAUUGGGCGUAAAGCGUCCGCAGGCGGCUUUUCAAGUCUGCUGUUAAAGCGUGGAGCUUAACUCCAUCAUGGCAGUGGAAACUGAAAGGCUUGAGUAUGGUAGGGGCAGAGGGAAUUCCCGGUGUAGCGGUGAAAUGCGUAGAUAUCGGGAAGAACACCAGUGGCGAAGGCGCUCUGCUGGGCCAUUACUGACGCUCAUGGACGAAAGCCAGGGGAGCGAAAGGGAUUAGAUACCCCUGUAGUCCUGGCCGUAAACGAUGAACACUAGGUGUCGGGGGAAUCGACCCCUUCGGUGUCGUAGCUAACGCGUUAAGUGUUCCGCCUGGGGAGUACGCACGCAAGUGUGAAACUCAAAGGAAUUGACGGGGGCCCGCACAAGCGGUGGAGUAUGUGGUUUAAUUCGAUGCAACGCGAAGAACCUUACCAGGGUUUGACAUCCUGCGAACCUCUUAGAAAUUUGAGGGUGCCUUCGGGAAUGCAGUGACAGGUGGUGCAUGGCUGUCGUCAGCUCGUGUCGUGAGAUGUUGGGUUAAGUCCCGCAACGAGCGCAACCCACGUUUUUAGUUGCCAGCAUUAAGUUGGGCACUCUAGAAAGACCGCCGGUGAUAAACCGGAGGAAGGUGUGGAUGACGUCAAGUCAUCAUGCCCCUUACACCCUGGGCUACACACGUACUACAAUGCUACGGACAAAGGGCAGCAAACUCGCGAGAGCUAGCAAAUCCCAUAAACCGUGGCUCAGUUCAGAUCGUAGGCUGCAACUCGCCUACGUGAAGUAGGAAUCGCUAGUAAUCGCAGGUCAGCAUACUGCGGUGAAUACGUUCCCGGGCCUUGUACACACCGCCCGUCACACCAUGGAAGUUGGCCAUGCCCGAAGUCGUUACUCCAACCCUUGUGGAGGAGGACGCCGAAGGUGGGGCUAAUGACUGGGGUGAAGUCAUAACAAGGUAACCGUA